rnacentral:rRNA from 1 species
UACGAAGGGGGCUAGCGUUGCUCGGAAUCACUGGGCGUAAAGGGUGCGUAGGCGGGUCUUUAAGUCAGGGGUGAAAUCCUGGAGCUCAACUCCAGAACUGCCUUUGAUACUGAAGAUCUUGAGUUCGGGAGAGUGAGUGGAACUGCGAGUGUAGAGGUGAAAUUCGUAGAUAUUCGCAAGAACACCAGUGGCGAAGGCGGCUCACUGGCCCGAUACUGACGCUGAGGUGCGAAAGCGUGGGGAGCAAACAGG